UACCGUAUGACAUCAUGUUGAAGGUCAC
rnacentral:sRNA from 1 species